UCAAGCUACAAAGAGCACAAGGGGAAUGCCUUGGCACCGAGAGCCGAAGAAGGACGUGACUAACUGCGAUAAGCUGCGGGGAGCCGUAAGUAGGCUUUGAUCCGCAGAUUUCCGAAUGGAGCAAUCCGGCAAGAGGAAAGUCUUGUCAUCAUAUACUGAAUACAUAGGUAUAUGAGGGGAACCGCCUGAACUGAAACAUCUAAGUAGGGCGAGGAAGAGAAAUCAACUGAGAUUCCGUAAGUAGUGGCGAGCGAACGCGGAAGAGGCCAAACCGAGAGUAGUAAUACUUUCGGGGUUCGGACAGAAUACGGCAUUGUAAAGGUUUAGUGGAAUGGAAUGGGAAGUCCAACCGAAGAAGGUGAGAGUCCUGUACACGAAAAGCCUGAACAGCCAUCUGUAUCCAGAGUACCGCCGGACACGUGAAACCCGGUGGGAAUAUGGGGGGACCAUCCUCCAAGCCUAAAUACUACUCGGUGACCGAUAGUGAAGAAGUACUGUGAAGGAAAGGUGAAAAGUACCCCUGACGGGGAGUGAAAAAGAACCUGAAACCUUGUGUUUACAAGCACCGAAAGCUCAUCAAAGAGCGAUCGGGUACCUUUUGUAGAAUGGUCCGGCGAGUGAAUGUAACCGGCGAGGUUAAGCACUUAAGGUGUGAAGCCGCAGCGAGAGCAAGUCUGAAUAGGGCGUAUGAAGUCGGUUGUAUUCGACCCGAAACCGGGUGACCUACCCAUGGUCAGGUUGAAGUAAAGGUAAAACUUUAUGGAGGACCGAACCGACUCCCGUUGAAAUGGUAGCGGAUGAACUGUGGGUAGCGGAGAAAUUCCAAUCGAACCCGGAGAUAGCUGGUUCUCUCCGAAAUAGCUUUAGGGCUAGCCUUGAAAUAGAUUACCGGAGGUAAAGCACUGAAUUGGCUAGGGGCCGAGAGGUUACUGAACCUUAUCAAACUAAGAAUGCCGGAUAAUCGUUUUUCAGGAGUCAGACAGUGGGAGAUAAGUUUCAUUGUCAAAAGGGAAACAGCCCAGACCCACAGCUAAGGUCCCCAAGUAUAGUUAAGUGGAAAAGGAUGUGGAAUUGCACAGACAACCAGGAUGUUGGCUUAGAAGCAGCCACUCAUUAAAAGAGUGCGUAAUAGCUCACUGGUCGAGUGACUCUGCGCCGAAAAUUUAACGGGGCUAAACUAUACACCGAAGCUUGGGAUACAUCUAAUGUAUGGUAGGAGAGCGUUCUGUAUGGGGAGAAGUCGUAGCGAAAGCGGCGGUGGACUAUACAGAAGUGAGAAUGCCGGAAUAAGUAGCGAGAAUUAAGUGAGAAUCUUAAUGGCCGAAAGUCUAAGGUUUUUGGAGGAAGGUUCGUCCGCUCCAAGUAAGUCGGGAGCUAAGGUCAGGCCGAAAGGCGUAGCCGAUGCACAUACGGUUGAUAUUCCGUAACCAUCUGUAAUUUAAGCAAAGGGACACUUCAAAAGGGUGUGACCCGGGCGUUGGUUGACCCGGGCGUAAGGGACCGAAAUUAGAGUAGGGAAGCACACUUAGCUGAAGGCGAGAAAAGCUUUGCGUAUAGAAACAGAUGCCCGUACCGCAAACCGACACAGGUGGACAGGAAGAGAAUUCUAAGGCCAGCGGGAGAAGGGUAGUUAAGGAACUCGGCAAAUUGACUCCGUAACUUCGGAAUAAGGAGUGCUCGAAAGAGCCGCAGAGAAUAGGCCCAGGCGACUGUUUAGCAAAAACACAGGUCUCUGCCAAAUCGAAAGAUGAAGUAUAGGGGCUGACACCUGCCCGGUGCCGGAAGGUUAAGAGGAGGAGUGAGAGCUCCGAAUUGAAGCCCCGGUAAACGGCGGCCGUAACUAUAACGGUCCUAAGGUAGCGAAAUUCCUUGUCGGGUAAGUUCCGACCCGCACGAAUGGUGUAACGAUCUGGACGCUGUCUCAACUGCCCACCCGGCGAAAUUGUAGUACCGGUGAAGAUGCCGGUUACCCGCGGCAAGACGGAAAGACCCCAUGGAGCUUUACUGUAACUUGAUAUUGGGUCUUGGUAUUCUAUGUACAGGAUAGGCGGGAGACUAUGAAACAUACACGCCAGUGUAUGCGGAGUCACCCUUGGGAUACCGCUCUUAGAGUACUGAGAUUCUAACCUGCGGCCGUGAAUCCGGUCGGGGGACAUUGUCAGGUGGGCAGUUUG
rnacentral:rRNA from 1 species